ACACUUGUAUUAUACAUUCUAAUAUAAUUCUAUCAUUAGCAUAUAAUUAUAUUUUGGGGGGUAGGUGGUCAUCUCAUCUUGGAGAAAAAAAAUUCGGAUAUUAAAUCACCACUUUAAUGUGAUACGGGUUGGUCAUUUUAAACUAUUUUGUGAGCGGUCACCUUUCACAUGAUGAGUUAAUGUAUGAACGAUGUAAUAUAAUAAAGAAGAUAGAAAACAGUAUUUUAAUCACACCUUAUCACAUAAGCAUCACUUGGUAUCGUAUAUUUGUUAUCGUAUGGGAGAAAAUAUCGACUAAUUCGUUAGAGAACAUUUGAAGCUUCUCGUGGAACGGCCGCAAAUCUAUGACUGGAUUUUUUACUUAUUCCUUGAGGAAGAUAUUUGGAAAAUAAAAAAUGUUAAUGUCAAGAAAUCAUUUGCUGACUAUUAUGAAACCAUGCGAUUUGUUUAUUAGGUACCUAUAAAAUAAAAGAUUUCCUCAACCUUGAA